UCAGGACGAACGCUGGCGGCGUGCCUAAUACAUGCAAGUCGAACGGUCUUUCUAUGGAAGCUUGCUUCCACUGAGAAGAUAGUGGCGAACGGGUGAGUAACACGUGGGUAACCUGCCCAUAAGAGGGGGAUAACAUCCGGAAACGGGUGCUAAUACCGCAUAGUUUUCUUGAUCGCAGUGAUUGAGAAAGGAAAGACGGCCUUUGUGCUGUCGCUUAUGGAUGGACCCGCGGCGUAUUAGUUAGUUGGUGAGGUAACGGCUCACCAAGACGAUGAUACGUAGCCGACCUGAGAGGGUGAUCGGCCACAUUGGGACUGAGACACGGCCCAAACUCCUACGGGAGGCAGCAGUAGGGAAUCUUCCGCAAUGGACGAAAGUCUGACGGAGCAACGCCGCGUGAGUGAAGAAAGGUUUUCGGAUCGUAAAACUCUGUUGUCAGAGAAGAACAAGUUGGAGAGUAACUGCUCCAGCCUUGACGGUAUCUGACCAGAAAGCCACGGCUAACUACGUGCCAGCCGCAGC
rnacentral:rRNA from 1 species